rnacentral:rRNA from 1 species
GACGAACGCUGGCGGCGUGCUUAACACAUGCAAGUCGAACGGAAAGGCCCUGCUUUUGUGGGGUGCUCGAGUGGCGAACGGGUGAGUAACACGUGAGUAACCUGCCCUUGACUUUGGGAUAACUUCAGGAAACUGGGGCUAAUACCGGAUAGGAGCUCCUGCUGCAUGGUGGGGGUUGGAAAGUUUCGGCGGUUGGGGAUGGACUCGCGGCUUAUCAGCUUGUUGGUGGGGUAGUGGCUUACCAAGGCUUUGACGGGUAGCCGGCCUGAGAGGGUGACCGGCCACAUUGGGACUGAGGUACGGCCCAGACUCCAACGGGAGGCAGCAGUGGGGAAUAUUGCACAAUGGGCGGAAGCCUGAUGCAGCAACGCCGCGUGCGGGAUGACGGCCUUCGGGUUGUAAACCACUUUCGCCUGAGACGAAGCGUGAGUGACGGUAAUGGGUAAAGAAGCACCGGCUAACUACGUG